UGUGUAGGCGGUUGUUUAAGUUUGGUGUGAAAUCUCCCGGCUCAACUGGGAGGGUGCGCCGAAUACUGAAUGACUUGGAGUGCGGGAGAGGAAAGUGGAAUUCCUGGUGUAGCGGUGAAAUGCGUAGAUAUCAGGAGGAACACCGGUGGUGUAGACGGCUUUCUGGACCGUGACUGACGCUGAGACACGAAAGCGUGGGUAGCAAACAGGAUUAGAUACCCUGGUAGUCCACGCCCUAAACGAUGCAUAUUUGGUGUGGGCAGUUCAUUCUGUCCGUGCCGGAGCUAACGCGUUAAAUAUGCCGCCUGGGGAGUACAGUCGCAAGGCUGAA
rnacentral:rRNA from 1 species